GGCCCAAUGGUCUAGUAGUAUGAUUCUCGCUUUGGGUGCGAGAGGUCCGGGGUUCAAUUCCCCGUUGGGCCC